rnacentral:rRNA from 1 species
CCUACGGGUGGCAGCAGUGGGGAAUAUUGGACAAUGGGGGAAACCCUGAUCCAGCGACGCCGCGUGAGUGAAGAAGUAUUUCGGUACGUAAAGCUCUAGCAGCAGGAAAGAAAAUGACGGUACCUGACUAAGAAGCCCCGGCGAACUACGGGCCAGCAGCCGCGGGAAGACGUAGGGGGCAAGCGUUAUCCGGAUUUACUGGGUGUAAAGGGAGCGGAGACGGCAGCGCAAGUCUGGAGGGAAAUGCCGGGGCCCAACCCCGGAACUGCGCUGGAAACUGGGAAGCUGGAGUGCAGUAGAGGUACGCGGAAUUCCUGUUGUAGCGGUGACAUGCGUAGAUAUCAGGAGGAACCCCGGCGGCGAAGGCGGCUUACUGGACUGUCACUGACGUUGAGGCUCGAAGGCGUGGGGAGCAAACAGGAUUAGAUACCCCAGUAGUC